GACGAACGCUGGCGGCGUGCCUAAUACAUGCAAGUUGAGCGCUGAAGGUUGGUACUUGUACCGACUGGAUGAGCAGCGAACGGGUGAGUAACGCGUGGGGAAUCUGCCUUUGAGCGGGGGACAACAUUUGGAAACGAAUGCUAAUACCGCAUAAAAACUUUAAACACAAGUUUUAAGUUUGAAAGAUGCAAUUGCAUCACUCAAAGAUGAUCCCGCGUUGUAUUAGCUAGUUGGUGAGGUAAAGGCUCACCAAGGCGAUGAUACAUGGCCGACCUGAGAGGGUGAUCGGCCACAUUGGGACUGAGACACGGCCCAAACUCCUACGGGAGGCAGCAGUAGGGAAUCUUCGGCAAUGGACGAAAGUCUGACCGAGCAACGCCGCGAGAGUGAAGAAGGUUUUCGGAUCGUAAAACUCUGUUGGUAGAGAAGAACGUUGGUGAGAGUGGAAAGCUCAUCAAGUGACGGUAACUACCCAGAAAGGGACGGCUAACUACGU
rnacentral:rRNA from 1 species